rnacentral:misc_RNA from 1 species
AGAUGCUUUGAAACUUGGUGUGUGUGCUAAUGUACUUAAUUUGGUGAAUGUAGUAGUGGGGUCUCCACCAACUCUUCCAUGCUGCAGUUUGAUACAAGGACUGGCAAAUUUAGAGGUGGCAGCUUGUUUGUGCACAGCUAUAAGAGCAAACAUACUGGGCUUAAAUCUGAAUGUGCCACUCACUCUUAGCCUCAUUCUCAACAACUGUGGAAUGAAUAAUAGUGGCUUCACUUGCUAAGGCAUUCUGCUCUUUCUCUUAUAUAUGUCUUUAUCAUU